GAACUUUUUUUAAGGUGAGAAAAACAGAUUUCUGAGUUUGGAAAAACAAGCUGAUGUGUUGUUACAUCUUUACACAGAUGACUCCAUGGAAAUCCAUCCCAUGUAAAGAUUGUCUCAGUACGUCUUCUGAAACAAAUCUCAGCCCAAGUUUCCAGUUUCUGGAAACCUGAUCUGCAGUGAGCCUGACUCAUGACUUCUAAACAAAAAUUUUUAAUUCAUGUUUUAAAACAUUAUAAACGUAGCUUGUGCUAGUUGUAGAGACAUUGAAGCAGUAUAGAGGGACACAGAUAAAAAGUUCCAUGCCCUAUCUCUCCACGAUCCCAAUCCCACAUCCCAAAGAUAACCGUGGUUCACAACGUCUUGUGUAUGCUUCCAGAAACUCUAUGUACAUACAACCUUGUGCUUUUUCAUCUUGUACUUGGUACUAUAUUCCUACUGCUUUGCAACAUUUUUUACACUCCAUCCUAUGUGUGUAUACAUAUCCAGUAUAUAUACAUAUAUACUAUAUGUAGCUUUCCUUAUUUUAAAUGAAUGCAUAGGAUUUUGGUUCAGGUUAUUAAAUGUAUCCAACAAAUACCCCUAUGGACUUAAGAGUUAUUUCCAACUUUUAGUUAUUACAAACUAGUGCUAUUCAAAGUGCUGUUUCACAUCGAGAUAAGGAGCUUUCGUCCAAAUACAAAUCAAUAUACUGUUUCCUUAAUCAAGAAAUUCUUUCUAUGAGAAAAGAUUGUCACCUGAACUCACGGUGCUCCUAGAAGUGUAGCUGAAUUACAUCCUGGCCCCUGAUCUCCCAGCAGACCAAUAACAAGCCAUCUGUAGAUUAUCACUGCUGUGCACACCGUGUUUCAGUCGCACUGUUACAAAUACUGAUGCAGUGAACCUUCUUGUGUGUAUAUGUCUUCAGCCACUUAUAUGUCUGUGGAAGUAAUGUGUCGAAUGAUAGGUACGUUAAACAUUUUGAUGGAUGUUGACAAAUUACCAUUUUAAGGUUUUACCAUUUUACACUUCUAACAGUAGGGUGUGAGUGUCUGUUUUCUUCCAAUUGGUCAAAACACUGAAUAUUACUAAAUUUUUCAAUACUUGACAAUGUGGUGAAUAAAAAAUGAUAUCUC
rnacentral:lncRNA from 1 species